ensembl:lncRNA
CAGACAGAUGCGCAACCACGCGUGCUCUACUGACAGUCAGUUAGUGAGACAGACACAGUCCGACAGACAGAUGGUCAACCACGCAUGCUCUACUGACAGUCAGUUACUGAGACAGACACAGUCCGACAGACAGAUGGUCAACCACGCGUGCUCUACUGACAGUCAGUUACUGAGACAGACACAGUCCGACAGACAGAUGGUCAACCACGCGUGCUCUACUGACAGUCAGUUAGUGAGACAGACACAGUCCGACAGACAGAUGGUCAACCACGCGUGCUCUACUGACAGUCAGUUAGUGAGACAGACACAGUCCGACAGACAGAUGGUCAACCACGCGUGCGCUACUGACAGUCAGUUAGUGAGACAGACACAGUCCGACAGACCGAUGGUCAACCAAUCCAGAUCCGUCGGUGUUGUUCUUGAACACCUUUGAUUACAGUCUGUCGGGCCCGCCUGGCAGGGAUGAUACAGGAUGAUGCUCCACAAUAGCAGGGCAUCCUGCCACCAGGAGGGAUUUCCGCGGGACCAGCCGCUGGACGGCUCACUGAGAGAGAAGACCCACUUUGCAGGUGGGUGCAGUCAGCCAGAGUGGUGAUGUGUUGUCCUGCCUUGGCCGGGAACAACUCUAAGACCCGCUGGGUCUCCUACCACCAGAGCAGCUCCCCAGUCUCCCUCUGUGUGCUUCUGCAACGUCCGUCAUCACCAGUGGUCCAUCCUGUAUGUAAGCGCUGUGUGUUGGUGUGCACUCCGAGACAUGAAACUCUCACAGAGAGGAAGCGAAAGAGACGAAGAGGAAGGAGAGAGUGAGAGAGUGAGACAGCGACUGUCCUGAGGGUACAGCAGUUCAAUUACAUCCUAAUCUCUUUCUAAACCCUCCACCCCUGGGUUAACCCACACAACCACCCGCCGUGUUGAGGUCACACGAACCUCAUUUAGUCGGCCACCUGAGGGGGAAGGACUUCACUCCUGCAGGCUCCACCCACCUGUCAAGUCUGAGUGAUACAGGGUGAGAGAGUGAGGGAGAG